rnacentral:rRNA from 1 species
UACGUAGGGUGCGAGCGUUGUCCGGAAUUACUGGGCGUAAAGAGCUCGUAGGUGGUUUGUCGCGUUGUUCGUGAAAACUCACAGCUCAACUGUGGGCGUGCGGGCGAUACGGGGCAGACUGGAGUACUGCAGGGGAGACUGGAAUUCCUGGUGUAGCGGUGGAAUGCGCAGAUAUCAGGAGGAACACCGGUGGCGAAGGCGGGUCUCUGGGCCGAUGACUGACGCUGAGGCACGAAGGCCAGGGGAGCAAACGGG